rnacentral:rRNA from 1 species
GACGAACGCUGGCGGCGUGCUUAACACAUGCAAGUCGAACGGAAAGGCCCUGCUUUUGUGGGGUGCUCGAGUGGCGAACGGGUGAGUAACACGUGAGUAACCUGCCCUUGACUUUGGGAUAACUUCAGGAAACUGGGGCUAAUACCGGAUAGGAGCUCCUGCUGCAUGGUGGGGGUUGGAAAGUUUCGGCGGUUGGGGAUGGACUCGCGGCUUAUCAGCUUGUUGGUGGGGUAGUGGCUUACCAAGGCUUUGACGGGUAGCCGGCCUGAGAGGGUGACCGGCCCCAUUUGGGAGAGAGAACGGCCCCAGGCUCCUCGGGGGGGCAAGAGGGGGAAAUUUUGCAAAAGGGGGGGAACCCUUGUGCACAAACCCCGGGGGGGGGAUGGCGCCUUUGGGGGUGAAAACCGUUUUCCCCUGUGAAAAAGGGUGGGUGGGGGAAAGGGGAAAAGAAGCCCCGGCAAACUACG